rnacentral:rRNA from 1 species
ACGGAAGUCUGAUGGAGCAACGCCACGUGAGUGAUGAAGGUUUUCGGAUCGUAAAACUCUGUUGUAAGGGAAGAACCAGUACGUCAGGCAAUGGACGUACCUUGACGGUACCUGCAGAAGAAGCACCGGCUAACUACGUGCCAGCAGCCGCGGUGAUACGUAGGGUGCGAGCGUUGUCCGGAAUUAUUGGGCGUAAAGAGCUUGUAGGCGGUCCGUCGCGUCGGAAGUGAAAACUCAGGGCUUAACCCUGAGCCUGCUUUCGAUACGGGCAGACUUGAGGGAUGUAGGGGAGAACGGAAUUCCUGGUGGAGCGGUGGAAUGCGCAGAUAUCAGGAGGAACACCAGUGGCGAAGGCGGUUCUCUGGACAUUUCCUGACGCUGAGAAGCGAAAGCGUGGGGAGCAAACA